UUCGGAAUAUUCGGCAAUGGACGAAAGUCUGACCGAGCGACGCCGCGUGCGGGAUGAAGGCCCUCUGGGUUGUAAACCGCUUUCGCGAGUGAGCAAAUCAAGACUGGUAAACAGCCAGUUAUGUUGAGUUAAGCUCGUAAAGAAGCCCCCGCUAAUCACGUGCCAGCAGCGGCGGUAAUACGUGAGGGGCGAACGUUGUUCGGUGUCACUGGGCUUAAAGGGUGCGUAGGUGGCUUCGUAAGUAAGGAGUGAAAUCCCUCGGCUUACCCGGGGAAUUGCUUUUUAUACUGCGAGGCUUGAGGAUCAGAGGGGAAAGAGGAACUCCGAGUGUAGCGGUGAAAUGCGCAGAUAUUCGGGGGAAGGCCGGCGGCGAAGGCGUCUUUCUGGCUGAUUCCUGACACUGAGGCACGAAAGCGUGGGGAGCAAACAGGAUUAGAUACCCGCGUAGUCC
rnacentral:rRNA from 1 species